rnacentral:rRNA from 1 species
ACGGGUGAGUAACGCGUAAACAACCUGCCCCGCAGAUGGGGACAACAGCUGGAAACGGCUGCUAAUACCGAAUACGCUCCUCUUAGCGCAUGGUAAGAGGAAGAAAGGGUGGCCUCUGGAACAAGCUACCGCUGCGGGAGGGGUUUGCGUCUGAUUAGCUGGUUGGAGGGGUAACGGCCCACCAAGGCGACGAUCAGUAGCCGGUCUGAGAGGAUGAACGGCCACAUUGGAACUGAGACACGGUCCAGACUCCUACGGGAGGCAGCAGUGGGGAAUCUUCCGCAAUGGGCGAAAGCCUGACGGAGCAACGCCGCGUGAGUGAAGACGGCCUUCGGGUUGUAAAGCUCUGUUAUAGGGGACGAACGGCCGGGUAGCGAAGAGGUACCCGGCAUGACGGUACCGUAAGAGAAAGCCACGGCUAACUACGUGCCAGCAGCCGCGGUAAUACGUAGGUGGCAAGCGUUGUCCGGAGUGAUUGGGCGUAAAGGGCGCGCAGGCGGCUGUGUAAGUCUGUCCAGAAAGUGCGGGGCUAAACCCCGUGAGAGGAUGGAAACUGGACAGCUGAGAGUGUCGGAGAGGAAAGCGGAAUUCCUAGUGUAGCGGUGAAAUGCGUAGAUAUUAGGAGGAACACCGGUGGCGAAAGCGGCUUUCUGGACGACAACUGACGCUGAGGCGCGAAAGCCAGGGGAGCUAACGGGAUUAGAUACCCC